rnacentral:misc_RNA from 1 species
UAUUAGUCAAUGAAUGUUGAAGAAGAAACGAUAAAUAUACGAUAAUAAUACACAACAACAGAAUAAAACAAAAGCAAAAUAGCAACCAGAUGAUGAUGUUGAUGAUUACGAAGAGGUUGUUGUUUUAACAAAUUGUGAAUUCGAAAAAUCAGUUGAAAUUUGCUCGCCUUAGCAAGAGGUUGUUAACAGCUCCGCCUCUUGAUAGAAUAAUAAAAUAUAUAUUUUUUUAUUUUUUAAACUACAAUUAUAAUAAUAACGCGGGUUUUAAACAGAAACUUUUAAAUUGAAUUAAGAAUUUUGAAUUUUAAAAAAUAGUGAAACGAACGAACAAUUUUGAAACUGAAAAACGCCAAAUUUGUUAAAAAAAUAUUGAAAAUUUUAUUAAAAUAUUAAACUUUAAAGUGCAAAGUGUUUUUGAAAAGUUAAAGAAGUUUUAUUAACGAAUUUAAUAAAAAAUUGUUGAAGCAAAAGAAUAAAACAGUUGCCACGAAAAAAAAUUAUUAAAAAAAAAAUUACAAACAUAAAAAUAUCUUUAAACUGAUUAAAAGUUACACUAACAACAACUACAAACAAAAUUUACAUUUCUCUCAGUGUAACUAAAAGUACCAAUAAAUCUACAGAAAACAACCGUGCCUUGUACAUUGUCACAUACAUAUCAUCACAAAAUUUUAAACCACAAACAAACAAAAUUAUCAUUAAAAUUAAAGUGUUUUAAAUAGAAUAUGUUUAAUAGCAAACAAUUACCACCACCACCACCGCCAACAACAAAAAGACGUACUAAUCUUCAAAAAUUGCCAGUUUCUUUAUCAUCUACAACAACGUCAACAUCUGCAGCAACAGUCAUCUCAAAUUCAUUAUUAAACACCACCUGUAAAAGCUCAAACAGCCUUAAAAUGUCUACCCGCCAAAGUUAUGUGUUCUUAGGUUUAACCAUACUGUUAACAAUUAUAGCCACAGUCCAAUCUGGACCAGUGUCAACGACAACGCAAGCUGAGAUAUAUUUAUCACAAUUUGGUUACUUACCCGCCUCCGCCCGCAAUUCUGCCAAUGGUGGUCUCUUGGAUGCCAAUACCUGGAUCAAAGCUGUGCAGGACUUUCAAAGUUUUGCCGGCUUAAAUACCACUGGUGAGCUAGACGCUGAGACCAUGGAAUUAAUGUCACUGCCACGUUGUGGUGUACGCGAUAAGGUGGGUUUUGGUAAUGAUAAUCGUUCCAAGCGUUAUGCACUCCAGGGUAGCCGUUGGCGUGUAAAGGCUUUAACCUAUAAAAUCUCCAAAUAUCCUAAACGUUUGAAGAAAGCUGAUGUUGAUGCCGAAAUUGCUAGAGCUUUUGCUGUCUGGAGUGAAUAUACCGAUCUAAGUUUUACACCCAAAAGUUCGGGACCAGUACAUAUUGAAAUUAAAUUUGUUGAAAGUGAACAUGGUGAUGGUGAUGCUUUCGAUGGUGUAGGUGGUACCUUGGCUCAUGCCUUCUUCCCUGUCUUUGGUGGUGAUGCUCAUUUCGAUGAUGCUGAACUUUGGACUAUUGGCAGUCCUCGUGGCACUAAUCUUUUCCAAGUUGCUGCUCAUGAAUUUGGUCACUCUUUGGGUUUGUCACAUUCCGAUGUACGUUCCGCUUUAAUGGCUCCCUUCUAUCGUGGUUUUGAGCCAGUUUUCAAAUUGGACUCUGAUGAUGUUUUAGCUAUUCAGGCUUUAUAUGGCAAGAAAUCCUCUUCAAAUGGUAAUGGUAUUAAUCCUCCCAGCGGUGGUGCCUUCCCACGUACCACACAAAGACCCGCCUUUGCUCCACCACGCACACCCAGAGAUGAUCAGUUAUGUAAAGAUCCCAAAAUUGAUGCUCUCUUCAAUUCAGCCGAUGGCCAGACUUAUGCUCUUAAGGGUAAUAAAUACUAUAAACUUACCGAAAACUCAGUGGCCGAUGGAUAUCCCAAACUUAUCUCAGAAGGAUGGCCUGGUUUACCAGGCGAUAUUGAUGCUGCUUUUACUUAUAAAAAUGGCAAAACAUAUUUCUUCAAGGGCACCAAAUAUUGGCGCUACAAUGGCCGUCAAAUGGAUGGUGACUACCCGAAAGAGAUUAGUGAAGGUUUUACUGGAGUGCCCGAUCAUUUGGAUGCUGCCAUGGUUUGGGGCGGUAAUGGCAAAAUUUACUUCUAUAAGGGUAGUAAAUUCUGGCGUUUUGAUCCCUUGAAGAGACCACCAGUUAAGUCCAGCUAUCCCAAACCGAUUUCGAAUUGGGAAGGCUUGCCAAAUAGUUUAGAUGCUGCCUUACAAUAUACCAACGGUUAUACGUACUUCUUUAAGGGUGAUAAAUACUAUCGGUUUAACGAUAGAACAUUUGCAGUUGAUGCUGCUGAUCCUCCAUUCCCCCGCCCCUCAGCCCACUGGUGGUUCGGCUGCAAGAAUACACCCUCAACAACAGGUAAUAUUGUGGACAAUUCACAGGAAACUGAAUUGCAUGAAUCAUCUUUCAAUGAUUAUGAAAAUGAUGAUACAGUAUUUGAUGCAGGCGUACGAAAACGUGGAUAAAUUACAGAAACAAAAAACUUCAUAAACAUAAAUAUACAAACUGUAAAGAAAACAUUAAACAUAAACCCACAUAUAAGCAACUCCACACACAAACACACACACACAGUCACAAAACAAUACACAUACAAAUGCAUAAAACUAUUAAACUGAAAGCUUCGCAAUGCUUCAACGUUAUAGAAAGAUAAAGGAAACGGAAGUAACAGUUAGAAAUAUAUUGAAAAAAGAGAUGUAAAUAAUAAUGGCAGAGGAUUUGUAACGCCUGGCUGGAUGUGGAAUAUAGCACGUUCAUGGUUUUAAAGUUUAACAAACAACAACAAUAACUAAACACAAAUAUUCUGACUCGAUUAUUCAACUAAACUAAAGCAAAAGAAACGUGAUAUUUUUGUAAACAACAAAAAAAGUAAUAAUAAUAAUAUAAACUAACUAAAUGAGACUUGGUAAACUAAAAACUUAAAACAUAACACUUGCUGUUCAUUUCAAAAAAAAAAAAAAAUAAACAAAAAGUUUCAUCAUCAUUUUAUUAAAUAUAACCCUAAAAAAACAUAGCAGCAACUAAGCUAUAGUGUGGCAACAUUGUUUUGUGUCCCGUGUGUAUGUAAAUAUAAACAUCUGCCCAUAAACAACAUUGUACAGAGCUGCUGUCAGCGCUAAUCAAACGUUUGUUUGUUUGUUU